UGAGAAUAAGGUGCUUGUCAGGGAGGUCAUCCAUGGCAGCAGCUGCACCUGUAUUGCAGACCAUGCUAUCACUAGGACUGCAAUGCGCGAUGCUCUCUGAUAUCUGGUGCAACCUAGAGAGAACUCUGAAUGGCAGAUUUGCUGGAAAAACACUGAGUAAAUUGUUGUACAGAAGGAUUUAA
rnacentral:lncRNA from 1 species